UGGACAGAUUAUUGUAUUCGACUGUAUUCACGGCGUGAAACAGGGGAUUACACUAUUUUUAAACGGAAAGUGAAUCAAUUAACAUAAUAAACUCCU
rfam:Nicotiana attenuata strain TT chromosome 6, whole genome shotgun sequence.